GAUGAACGCUGGCGGCGUGCCUAAUACAUGCAAGUCGAGCGAACAGACGAGGAGCUUGCUCCUCUGACGUUAGCGGCGGACGGGUGAGUAACACGUGGAUAACCUACCUAUAGACUGGGAUAACUUCGGGAAACCGGAGCUAAUACCGGAUAAUAUAUUGAACCGCAUGGUUCAAUAGUGAAAGACGGUUUUGCUGUCACUUAUAGAUGGAUCCGCGCCGCAUUAGCUAGUUGGUAAGGUAACGGCUUACCAAGGCAACGAUGCGUAGCCGACCUGAGAGGGUGAUCGGCCACACUGGAACUGAGACACGGUCCAGACUCCUACGGGAGGCAGCAGUAGGGAAUCUUCCGCAAUGGGCGAAAGCCUGACGGAGCAACGCCGCGUGAGUGAUGAAGGCCUUCGGAUCGUAAAACUCUGUUAUUAGGGAAGAACAAAUGUGUAAGUAACUAUGCACGUCUUGACGGUACCUAAUCAGAAAGCCACGGCUAACUACGUG
rnacentral:rRNA from 1 species